AUUGAACGCUGGCGGCAGGCCUAACACAUGCAAGUCGAGCGGCAGCGACUUAACUGAACCUUCGGGGAACGUUAAGGGCGGCGAGCGGCGGACGGGUGAGUAAUGCCUGGGAAUAUGCCCUGAUGUGGGGGAUAACUAUUGGAAACGAUAGCUAAUACCGCAUAAUCUCUUCGGAGCAAAGAGGGGGACCUUCGGGCCUCUCGCGUCAGGAUUAGCCCAGGUGGGAUUAGCUUGUUGGUGAGGUAAUGGCUCACCAAGGCAACGAUCCCUAGCUGGUCUGAGAGGAUGAUCAGCCACACUGGAACUGAGACACGGUCCAGACUCCUACGGGAGGCAGCAGUGGGGAAUAUUGCACAAUGGGGGAAACCCUGAUGCAGCCAUGCCGCGUGUGUGAAGAAGGCCUUCGGGUUGUAAAGCACUUUCAGUAGGGAGGAAGGUAGUGUGGUUAACACCUGCAUUAUUUGACGUUACCUACAGAAGAAGCACCGGCUAACUCCGUGCCAGCAGCCGCGGUAAUACGGAGGGUGCGAGCGUUAAUCGGAAUUACUGGGCGUAAAGCGCAUGCAGGCGGCCUGUUAAGUCAGAUGUGAAAGCCCGGGGCUUAACCUCGGAAUUGCGUUUGAAACUGGUAGGCUAGAGUCUUGUAGAGGGGGGUAGAAUUUCAGGUGUAGCGGUGAUAUGCGUAGAGAUCUGAAGGAAUACCAGUGGCGAAGGCGGCCCCCUGGACAAAGACUGACGCUCAGAUGCGAAAGCGUGGGGAGCAAACAGG
rnacentral:rRNA from 1 species